rnacentral:lncRNA from 1 species
AUGAGUGGGACAAGAAGCAAGAAAAAAUUGCGGGGAAACAGAAAACAGGAAGACAAAACUCAAGACGAGGAGAGGGGGGAAGAAACGACUAGCAACAACACAGCUAGCAUGGAGGAAUCUGACAGUGAAGAGGAGAACCUCACAACGUCCAAAGCCAUUCAAAACUUAAGUAAAGACAUUCAAAACAUGUAUAAAGAAUUCAAGCGAGAUCUAAUGGACUUCAAGAAGGACGUCAAGCAGGAGUUUAAUAACUUCAGAGUGGAGACAAAUCAAAAGGUACAAAGUGUUACCAGCGAUGUCCACAACCACGGUACAAGACUAACUGAAGCGGAGCAACGAGUGGAAGAAACGGAGACCGCUAACACUGAGCUGAGGGAUGCUCUGCUCGAUUCACUGAAACAGCAAAAACUGCUCCAAGAUAAGGUAACGGACCUGGAAGGAAGAUCACGCCAUAAUAACAUUCGUAUAUACGGCAUUAAAGAGGGCACCGAAGAAAGCUCGAUGCUAACGUUUAUCGACAACUUUCUGAAGACAGAGCUAGCGCUGGACAGCACUGCUGAUCUACAAAUCCAACGAGCCCAACAAUCUAUCGGCCCAAAAUCUCAAGAUGAAGCAGUUUCCAGGUCUAUCUUAGUCAACUUCCAGAGGUAUGACACCAAAGAUAAAAUACUAAAGAUGGCUUGGUCAAAGAAAAUCACUUGUGACGGGAAAUCAGUCACAUUUGCCCAUGAUUUUCCCACAGAAAUUAAUAACAGACUCCGGGAGUACAGGCAUAUAAAUAAGAUACUUAAAGAAAAGCAGAUACGUUUUCAGACUCCUUACCCUGCCCGGAUGAAGAUCCACUGGGAUAAUGGAUCGCACCUCUAUAACAACGCAACAGAAGUAACCGAGGACAUGAGAAAGAGAGGCUUUCAGCUCGACCUGCCGCAAAAAACUACCAUCAACUUGGAGCAGAAACUCACCCAGAGGGCGCAUGCUGGAGCAGAAAGGACGGAGAUCGAUCCACACGCGUCCGGGAAAGGCUCAGAGAUUUUCAUCGGCAGUAAUGUAAACACCACACUAAUAGAGCUGUUAGGUACUGUUUACAUAAUUUCAAAUAGGCCUAAUGCAGAAAAUAUAAAAUACUGCUCUGCUCUCUGA